CAAAAAAAAAAGAAAUCUAUUUAUUAUCAUAUUUAUCCGAGAAAAAAGAUAACCAAAUCCGGAAGAAAAAAAACAUGAACGAGAGAGCAAAUUCAGAGAAAGAUCUUGGAACAAACCCUAGAAACAAAUCAUUAAUGGCUGCAAAAUCAUGAUGAGUGCAUAAACAUAACAUAAUAUCUCCUUCACUGAAUCUCCAAUUCUCUUUUCUCUUCGACCUCUCACAGAAUUGUAACACUGAGGGUUCGAGAUCGAGAAUUUAAUGAUAAAGAAGAUCGUUGUCUGAUUCCGUUGGCAGAGUAGAUGGGGAAGAAAUUGAUGGUGGUCUGUUGAUAUCGAGAAGAAGGAAUUGAUGGAAAUUUGCUAAAUUAGGGUUUGGAUUGAGAUAUGAAGAUGAUUCUGAUAAUACUGGUGUUAACAGCGAGGAAUUGGAAUAGGGUUUUGUCUGAAUUAGGUUUUGAGAUGUUGGUGACGAGCUCUGUCCAGAAGAAUUGAUAUUAGGGUUUGGUGAUCUGAGCGACUUCUGUUUAGAUUUCGGUAAUCUUUUUCGAUUACGCUGUUGAAUUCAGAGAAGCAGAUUCAGAGUAAACAGCGAGGAAUUGAAGUGGUUUUGAUUGAAGUAGGUUUGGGUUUGUCUCGAAUUAACAGUUCAGAGAAGAUGAUAAUGGUAAAAUUGGAGUUAGGGUUUCUGGUGAAAUUGGAGUUAAGGUUUCUUGAUUUGUCCUGAUUGCUCUGUGAUUGAUUUCUCGGUUGAUGCACGAAUUUCUCGAAAUUGUGGCCCUCAGGUUGAUCAUGCAGGUAUCAGAAGCCAUUGUGAGCAGCAACACCAGUUUAAUCACUGUUACUACAGAAAGUGGUGACUACCCUUUAGGAACAUACUAGGAAGAUCAAUGAAGCCUGAAGGAUUUUUAUGUACCCAAUCAGAGCAAGCACAACAGACACCUGGAUCCUACUGAUAAUCUAGACUGAUCCGUGAACGUUUGAUUGUGGAAGACCUUCCAUUCCUAGAAAAGAACUACAGAUUUGGGCACCACUAACUUAUCUGGGUUUUAUUUUAGUAUCUAUAUCUAUCAUUCCCAAAUCCUUGGCAGGGAUGGUGGUACUCUGGGAACUUUCCUUACGGAAUGGGUAGAUAUGCUCAGUUCAGUUUAGCAGAUGGGGGAUUGAUGUGUGAUGUUGUCCAUUGUGGGGCUGUGAAGAAAGCAUACUUAAUUAAAAUUCCCUCUUUGGAUUCGACAUGAUGAUUCUGCCUUUCUAGACUGUCCUAUGAGGACUUCCAAUACUAGAUUCUUGAGCAUGCUAUAGAUGGAAAAUCCAAGAUAACAUUGAGGUACUCAUAUAAGUAGUUUUUGAAGUUAUUGAGGAGCUAGCUGUUCCUGAGAAUAAAUUCAUAUACGGGAAAAAUCAGUUUCUUUAAUAAGUGAAUAGACUUCAAAAGAUAAUAGUGGUUUGGUUGUAUGGAUUGCGCUUGACAACCACCCUCUGUAUUGUGAAGCACACAAUUUAUUUUGUGUCCAUAUUGAUGCGCUAAAGGUACGUGCAUAUCGAUUCCUUUGUCUUGCUGCUUCGUUGCUUAAGCUUUCUUAUUUUAUAUUUCAUCUGAGCAUAAUAAUUCAUAUGAAUCACAAAAAUCUUUUGGAACCUCACCUGCGGAUAGAAACGGAUGCAUUGAAUUAGGUACAUGGUUUUGAACUUGCAACUAAUAUGAUUUUGAUACUGAUCACAUCCCACACUUUCCGCUUCCUCUAGGCAGUGUACGUAGGCUGUAAAAUUUUCUGCCCAUGUGGUAUACUGGUGAGUUGCAGUUUCAAUGUAGAAUCAGUUCCACUUUCUCCCAGAUGAUAACAUUGUAUUACCGAAGUUUUUAGAACUAUAAUGUGAAAUCGGAAAUUUACCCAAAAGAUACAACUGAUUGCAAUAUUGAACCUCUUGACAUCCAUAAUUGUUAUAAUUUUAGUUUUGAGUUAAUCAACCUAGCCAGUGUUUCUUUAUCGGUAUAGUGAUUUGGUAUCAAUUUAAAAUGUAAUUGUCAUAUGUAAUGGAAAGGUAUUUAUGUAUCUAUUAUGACAUUGUUCCUUUUACUAAGCUUACAGAAGUGCUAACAAGGUUUGGUUAAAGUUCAAAAGGAUGUGAUGAUUACAGACACGGACCUAUUCCUCCACAUUCGACUGCCAAGGCUUUUGCUUGUAUUUAAGCCAAGGAGAUAGCGAUGCUGAUGCAUUUUUUAUAAUGAUAUAAUUGUAGGGGGAUAAAUUAUAUUAUCCCCCUACAAUCAUCUCCUCUGUUCUCUUUAACCUUCGACCCUAAUUUCAGAUGUUUAUUUGUUUCAAUCGAAUCAGCUUAAUGAAAAACAACAAUCUGGGGCUGUGCUGUAAUUGGGGAUUUCGUCAAAGUCCAUAUUUCAUAUCUCAUACACCGAGAAACAGUAAUUGGGGAUUUUGGAGCUGUGUUGUAAUUGGGGAUUUUUAAAUUUGAUUCAAAUCAGUUGAAGUGUCAUUAAUCAAUAGAGUUUUUUAUAUAUCGAACUCUUUAAUCUUUUUUUCGUGAAUUUCCGGCGCAAUCAAAACCGUUGUGUUCAUGGGAGACCCAGAUGGAUUUGGAGUUUAAGCUUCCCCAUGAUCUAGCACGGGACAAUCAGAGGUUGAAUUGGAGUUGUGAUUGUUGAGCAGUUUUCAUGGAUUUGCAUCCAAUUAUAAUCACCACUGAGUGCAUGAAAGAAGUUAAGUGUUCAUGGACCGUCGAAGCUGCCACGGACUGUUUCGAGGGAAAUAUUGAGACUAUCCUUAGUCGUCAGAACCAUCUAGCUUGCAAUAAGUUAAAUUUGAGAGUUGUUAGUCAGAUUGGUGUCCCUUGGAGCAUCAAUACGCAUCCCAAGUUUUUGAUUCUGUCCCUAGGUAUCAUAGAAAAAAAUUAAUUGCACAACAAAUGAGGUAUUCAGCUCAAGCUUCGGCGACAAGAGGCAUUAAACAAGUGACAUGAUGGACGGUCCAGUGAUGCCAAACUCCCAUGUUCAUUCCAGCGUCACAAUCUAUUGUUAAGAAGAGACAUCGAUUCGGUAUAUACUGGCAUAUGACAGAGAGAUACCAAUAUGUGCGAAGACUAAAGUUGGCUGGAGUCCAUCAACUUAAGAAGAAAUAAUGGCGGCAUCUGCGAUAGGCUCUUUCUUAUGGAUGGGGGUGAAUGUACUGAAGCCUAAGGAACAUGAGACUUGAAAGAGGAUCCAUAGAAUAAGGAGCUUGCAGAUAGCUUACUAAAGGUGUAUCUCUUUUGCAAUUAAUAAUUGCAGGUGAAUAUUUCAGUUUUAGGAUUUGGGCAUCUACAGGUUUGGCAGAGUGUACUGUUAUGUUGAAUUUUAAAUUUGUGCAGUAAAGUUGUAGGCUGACGUUGGCAACAAUUUCAGUUGGAAAGAACCUUCUCCAUAAAUUAGUACCACUGUUGCAACCAUAUAUUAGUUGUUUUUUUGUUGCUAAGAGAUUAAGAUUCAAUCUUCACUCCUAAUUGACCGUGUUGGUAGUCUACUUUAUAUUUUAGUUGAUUUUGAUGGACUGCAUUGUGAAAAAUUAUUACAUAUUUAUGUGACUUUGUAAAAUACGUUUACUCUUUUGUA